rnacentral:rRNA from 1 species
UGAUGCCUACGGGACGCAGCAGUGGGGAAUAUUGCACAAUGGGGGAAACCCUGAUGCAGCAACGCCGCGUGAAGGAAGAAGGCUUUCGGGUUGUAAACUUCUUUUAAGAGGGAAGAGCAGAAGACGGUACCUCUUGAAUAAGCCACGGCUAACUACGUGCCAGCAGCCGCGGUAAUACGUAGGUGGCAAGCGUUGUCCGGAUUUACUGGGUGUAAAGGGCGUGCAGCCGGGAAGACAAGUCAGAUGUGAAAUCCCGCGGCUCAACCGCGGAACUGCAUUUGAAACUGUUUUUCUUGAGUACCGGG